UACGUAGGCAGCGAGCGUUGUUCGGAGUUACUGGGCGUAAAGGGUGCGUAGGCGGUUGUUUAAGUUUGGUGUGAAAUCUCCCGGCUCAACUGGGAGGGUGCGCCGAAUACUGAAUGACUAGAGUGUGGGAGAGGAUAGUGGAAUUCCUGGUGUAGCGGUGAAAUGCGUAGAUAUCAGGAGGAACACCGGUGGUGUAGACGGCUAUCUGGACCGUAACUGACGCUGAGGCACGAAAGCGUGGGUAGCAAACAGG
rnacentral:rRNA from 1 species